rnacentral:rRNA from 1 species
UACGUAGGGGGCAAGCGUUAUCCGGAUUCACUGGGCGUAAAGGGAGCGCAGGCGGCACGGUAAGUCUGAUGUGAAAGCCCGGGGCCCAACCCCGGGACUGCAUUGGAAACUGCCGGGCUUGAGUGUCGGAGGGGCAGGCGGAAUUCCUAGUGUAGCGGUGAAAUGCGUAGAUAUUAGGAGGAACACCAGCGGCGAAGGCGGCCUGCUGGACGACAACUGACGCUGAGGCUCGAAAGCGUGGGGAGCAA